UACAGAGGUUGCAAGCGUUAAUCGGAUUUACUGGGCGUAAAGCGCGCGUAGGCGGCUUUGUAAGUUAGAGGUGAAAGCCCGGAGCUCAACUCCGGAACUGCCUUUAAAACUGCAUCGCUUGAAUCCAGGAGAGGUGAGUGGAAUUCCGAGUGUAGAGGUGAAAUUCGUAGAUAUUCGGAAGAACACCAGUGGCGAAGGCGGCUCACUGGACUGGUAUUGACGCUGAGGUGCGAAGGCGUGGGGAGCAAACAGG
rnacentral:rRNA from 1 species